GUGCUCUGAAAUUCUUAUCUUUAUCAUACGUCAGUCGGAUGUCUAUGACGUCAGUUGUGUAUGUGAACAAUAGAUGCAACUGACUGUCAGUGCACUAGUGUGUUUUGAUACUUGGUUUCGUCUCUUUUUGCUAGUGCUGCCGAAGAUGGCAAACUUCAAUUUCUUCUGCACAAGUUUCCUCGUCUCAAUUUUAGUGUACAGAGGUGUGGUAGUGGCCAAUGACUGCAUCCCUCGUCAUUAUGGGAAAAGUAGCUUCGUAUGUGUCUGCAAUGCCACAUACUGUGACGACUCACCGACCGUUGGCGAUCUAGCGGCAGGCCAAGCUACUUUGAUCUCUUCCACUAGAGCAGACGCACGCUUCCGAAUAACCAACCUGACUUUCGUGGGGUUUUCAAAUUCACUUCUUGCAAACCAAAUAUUUAUAGAUCCUUCUGUUCAAUACCAAAAAAUUCUUGGAUUUGGUGGCGCAUUUACCGACGCAGCUGGAAUCAACAUUGCGAAGCUGUCGAUUUUGGCCCAGCAAAAUUUACUUAAGUCAUAUUUUGGAAGCGAGGGAAUAGAAUAUGGGCUGGGUAGAGUUCCUAUUGGUGGAAGUGAUUUUUCUACCUUGGCUUACACCUACGAUGAUUUUCCUGGAGAUAAUAAUCUAGCAAACUUUUCCCUAACUAAAGAAGAUCUGUUCUUCAAGAUUCCAUAUAUCUCCUGGGCUCAGAGUUUUAGUGCCAAACCUAUAAAGCUUCUUGCCAGCCCAUGGAGUGCCCCUGCAUGGAUGAAAAGCAAUGGCAAACUAAAUGGCAAAGGGUAUCUUCUUCAAGAGUAUUACCAAGUAUGGGCAGAAUAUAUCGCGAGAUUUUUUGAAGAAUACAAGAGCCACAACUUGCAUUUUUUCGCCGUUACACCUCAAAAUGAACCAUCCGAUGGAAAUAUCCCAGAUUUUCCAUUCAACUGUAUGGGCUGGACUCCAGAACAGCAGGCAAUGUUCGUUGGCCUUAAUUUGGGACCUACGUUAGAGGCCAGUGGAUUUGGAUCCGUUAAAAUCAUGAUUAUGGAUGAUCAACGCCUUUUGCUUCCGAAAUGGGCCGAAAGUGUUUUGUCCCAUCCAUUGGCGAAAAAGUACGUUGCAGGUGUGGCAGUUCACUGGUACACGGAUCUGUUUACACCGGCAACAGUUCUAACCAAAUUUCAUGAAAAAUUCCCAGAUCAUUUCAUUUUGGCCACUGAGGCCUGCGAAGGUGACAAACCGUGGCAACCGGCCGUUAGUCUUGGAUCGUGGGAACGUCUUGAAUCUUAUGCGCACAACAUUAUAGAGGAUCUCAAUCAUUGGGUGACUGGAUGGAUGGACUGGAAUCUUGCGCUGGACGAACGCGGGGGUCCAAACUGGGCUGGAAAUUUUGUCGAUUCCCCCAUUAUUGUUAACAAAGCUAGAGACGAGUUUUACAAGCAACCCAUGUUUUAUGCACUGGGACAUUUUUCCAAAUACAUUCCAGAGGACUCGGUCAGGAUUGGUAUUGAUCUGAUUGACAAUUCAAACUUUUUCGGAACCGCUUUCAAACGUCCUGAUGGAAAGCACACAGUAGUCCUGCUCAACCGGUCAAACGAGGAUAAAUUAAUUAUGUUGGUUGACCGUGAACGCGGUGCCUUGGAAUUCACUUGUCCCGCCCGCUCUUUAAAUACGGUGGUUUAUGGUUAAUGCUUUCUUACGUGGAUGCCAAAUAUUCUAUAAAUAACUAGAAAAUGUUAUAACCGGACACAUUUUUCUCGCUAGGUUCUGAUUUGGAAAAAUAGAAACAAGAACUUUUGUCUGUUUUAUCCCUGUAAUGAGUCAUCUGCUAGAAAAUCGCCUUUGAAGAAAAAUAAAUCGCUUCCGUGUUUACGGCUCUUUA
rnacentral:misc_RNA from 1 species